UACAGAGGUCUCAAGCGUUGUUCGGAAUUACUGGGCGUAAAGGGUGCGCAGGCCGCGCGGGCAGUCAAAUGUGUAAUUCAGGGGCUCAACCCCUGCACUGCGCUUGAUACUUCCGCGCUCGAGCUUUGGAGAGGAGUCUGGAAUUCUCGGUGUAGCAGUGAAACGCGUGGAUAUCGAGAAGAACACUUAGGGCGUAGGCAAGACUCUGGACAAAUGCUGACGCUCAUGCACGAAGGCUAGGGUAGCGAACGGG
rnacentral:rRNA from 1 species